UCAGGCUCCAACAUCCUCCCUCUGUCAAGAUGUGGCACCUCAAACUUUGUGCAGUCCUCAUGAUCUUCCUGUUGCUGUUGGGCCAGAUAGAUGGCUCCCCAAUACCAGAAGUGAGUUCAGCAAAGAGAAGGCCACGGAGAAUGACCCCAUUUUGGAGAGGGGUUUCCCUCAGGCCUAUUGGAGCCUCCUGCCGGGAUGAUUCUGAGUGUAUCACAAGGCUAUGCAGAAAGGACAGCAGUCACCUCCGACAAUGCUCCGUUCUAUGGAAUAUUGAUUAACUGCAUUUUGGCUGGAGACACCCAAGUGAAGCAAUCUUGUAUUUUUAAUAUUUAAAGGCAGAUGUAUGCUUUAAAUUGGUCUCCAUUUCUUCUUAGUAUGUUGAUAUAUGGAUAAGCAUAACUAAACUUGUCAAUUUAGAGUUUAUUUUUCUAUGGAUACUAUUAAAUGUCUCAAAUUG
rnacentral:sRNA from 1 species